UACGUAGGUGGCAAGCGUUGUCCGGAUUUACUGGGCGUAAAGAGCGCGUAGGCGGCCUUCUAAGUCGGACGUGAAAUCCCUCGGCUUAACCGAGGAACUGCGUCCGAUACUGAAAGGCUUGAAUCCGGGAGAGGGAUGUGGAAUUCCAGGUGUAGCGGUGAAAUGCGUAGAUAUCUGGAGGAAUACCGGUGGCGAAGGCGGCAUCCUGGACCGGCAUUGACGCUGAGGAGCGAAAGCUAGGGGAGCAAACGGG
rnacentral:rRNA from 1 species